AUAGGUGGUCUACCUCUCGUUGUUUUCUUUUGGAGAGGUUUUGGAGAGUUACCUGUGUAUAGAGACCACCCCACUGUGGAUUUCUUUGAGAUUCUUAUUGUACCUUUUUAUGCUUAUGCUUAGUGGACUACUUUACUCCUUCUCUACUUGUUGCUAGUUUUUAGUUGUUAGCAGCCCUGAUAUCUCUAGAUACUUGUUUCUUCUUACUUUCACAUCUCUUUUGUUGUAGACGCCUUAUAUGCGCAGGCAUAUGGCGGGUCUGUGCGCGCUUCCGGGAGGGCCUCCGCCAGUCCCGGGGCGUGACAUGAAACCUAUCAUUUAUAUAGUGGCAUUGUGGCUAGUGGCUAUACGUCCUCAAAUUGAGG
rnacentral:lncRNA from 1 species